CGCCCCCUAUACGUCAUCAUUGAGUAAACUUUGACCCGGAACCUCACAGUUAGCAGACACUUCCUGGGAGGGAGGGUCUGCUGCUGAUUGGGUGGAAUGUGUCUGCUGGCUGUGAGGUUCCGGGUCAAAGUUUACUCAAUGAUGACGUAUAGGAGGUG
rnacentral:miRNA from 1 species